rnacentral:rRNA from 1 species
GCCUAACACAUGCAAGUCGAACGGGACCUAAUGGAAUGCGGCUUCGGCCAAAGGAAGUUAAGUUUAGUGGCGAACGGGUGAGUAACGCGUGAGGAAACUGCCUUUCAGUGGGGGACAAAAGUUGGAAACGACUGCUAAUACCGCAAAAUGUGUCUAGGGGCAUCCCUGAGAUAACAAAGCCUUAUGUGCUGAAAGAUGGCCUCGCGUCUGAUUAGAUAGUUGGUGGCGUAACGGCUCACCAAGUCAACGAUCAGUAGCCGGUCUGAAAGGAUGAACGGCCACAUUGGGACUGAGAUACGGCCCAGACUCCUACGGGAGGCAGCAGUGGGGAAUAUUGGGCAAUGGGGGAAACCCUGACCCAGCAACGCCGCGUGAAGGAAGAAGGCCUUCGGGUUGUAAACUUCUUUUAGUAGGGACGAAGAACGUGACGGUACCUACAGAAAAAGCAACGGCUAACUACGUGCCAGCAGCCGCGGUAACAC